AUGGAAUCGAUCACUCCUAGUAAGAGGAGAUCGCAUCCUGUAUAUUCUCAUUUCUAGAUGACUCAAAAAAAAUCUUUUGGCCAAAAGCAAAAAGGAGAUUAGAAAGAGUUUCUAAUGCUUCAUCAUCAGAGUCAUCAUUGGUUAAAUUGAGAAUCGAUAUGAAUAUAUGUUUGAGCUUGAUAUAAUUUCAUACUCAUGAACAUAUUCAGGAUGCAGGG
rnacentral:lncRNA from 1 species